rnacentral:sRNA from 1 species
AGCAGCCGCGGUAAUUCCAGCUCCAAUAGCGUAUAUUAAAGUUGUUGCAGUUAAAAAGCUCGUAGUUGAAUUUCGGGGUUCUACCGUUGGUCAGGCUAUAGUCUGUACUGGCGUGUGGAAUUUCUACCUUCUGGGGAACUAUCAUGUUAUUAAUUUAGCGUGGUAGGAAACCAGAACCUUUACCUUGAAAAAAUUAGAGUGUUCAAAGCAGGCUUACGUCUGAAUACAUUAGCAUGGAAUAAUAAAAUAGGACGGUGGUCCUGUUUUGUUGGUUUCUGAAUCACCGUAAUGAUUAAUAGGGAUAGUUGGGGGCAUUAGUAUUCAAUUGUCAGAGGUGAAAUUCUUGGAUUUAUUGAAGACUAACUUCUGCGAAAGCAUUUGCCAAGGAUGUUUUCAUUAAUCAAGAACGAAAGUUAGGGGAUCGAAGACGAUCAGAUACCGUCGUAGUCUUAACCAUAAACUAUGCCGACUAGGAAUCGGACGUGUUAA